GCCAGACUCCUACGGGAGGCAGCGGUGGGGAAUAUUGCACAAUGGGGGAAACCCUGAUGCAGCGACGCCGCGUGAGUGAAGAAGUAUUUCGGUAUGUAAAGCUCUAUCAGCAGGGAAGAAAAUGACGGUACCUGACUAAGAAGCCCCGGCUAACUACGUGCCAGCAGCCGCGGUAAUACGUAGGGGGCAAGCGUUAUCCGGAUUUACUGGGUGUAAAGGGAGCGUAGACGGUAGAGCAAGUCUGAAGUGAAAGCCCGCGGCUCAACUGCGGGACUGCUUUGGAAACUGUUCAACUGGAGUGCUGGAGAGGUAAGCGGAAUUCCUAGUGUAGCGGUGAAAUGCGUAGAUAUUAGGAGGAACACCGGUGGCGAAGGCGGCCUACUGGACUGUAACUGACGUUGAGGCUCGAAAGCGUGGGGAGCAAACAGGAUUAGAUACCCUUGUA
rnacentral:rRNA from 1 species